rnacentral:other from 1 species
AUACCCCUGCCAGGUUCUAACUACGUGUCCGCUCUUUUAAAACCCACAUUUUUGAAACGGGACGCCCCCUCGCGCUGCGGUUCGCAGGCCUCCCGGCCCUCCUCGGAGGUGUCUGGACGUUGGAAGCGGUAAAGCUGCGCGGAGGCGACCCACCUGCAUCUUCGUGCAGGUUUUUAACGGGGCGGCACGGCCAUGGCGGGGGUUUU